rnacentral:rRNA from 1 species
AUUGAACGCUGGCGGCAGGCUUAACACAUGCAAGUCGAGCGGGGUGAUGGUGCUUGCACUAUCACUUAGCGGCGGACGGGUGAGUAAUGCUUAGGAAUCUGCCUAUUAGUGGGGGACAACAUCUCGAAAGGGAUGCUAAUACCGCAUACGUCCUACGGGAGAAAGCAGGGGAUCACUUGUGACCUUGUGCUAAUAGAUGAGCCUAAGUCGGAUUAGCUAGUUGGUGGGGUAAAGGCCUACCAAGGCGACGAUCUGUAGCGGGUCUGAGAGGAUGACCCGCCACACUGGGACUGAGACACGGCCCAGACUCCUACGGGAGGCAGCAGUGGGGAAUAUUGGACAAUGGGGGGAACCCUGAUCCAGCCAUGCCGCGUGUGUGAAGAAGGCCUUAUGGUUGUAAAGCACUUUAAGCGAGGAGGAGGCUUACCUAGUUAAUACCUGGGAUAAGUGGACGUUACUCGCAGAAUAAGCACCGGCUAACUCUGUGCCAGCCGCCGCAGUAA